UCGCCUGUUUUUACAAAAACAUUGCUUAUAGAGAUCAUUAUAAGUAAAUCCUGCUCAAUGAUAUAAUUAAAUAGCCGCAAUUUAUUGUGCUAAGGUAGCAUAAUCAUUUGUUUUUUAAUUGAAAACUAGAAUGAAAGGAUAAACAUUAAAAUUUCUAUAUUCUUUUAAUUUAUAUAAAAUUAUAUUAAAUAUAAAAAUAUAUUUAUUCAAAAAUUAGACGAUAAGACCCUAUUGAACUUUACUUAUGUUUAGCUGGGGCAGCUUUUAAAUUUAUAUUUUUAAUAAUUUUUAACAAAUGUUCCAAUAAUAUUGAAAUAUUAAUCAAGUUACCAUAGGGAUAACAGCGUAAUUUUUAUAUAAAGUUCUUAUUUAAAUAAAAGUUUGCGACCUCGAUGUUGAAUUAAAUUUUCUUAAUUUCGCAGAAGAUUUAUAAGUAGGUCUGUUCGACCUUUUAAAAUUUACAUGAUUUGAGUUCAAACCGGUGUAAACCAGGUUGGUUUCUAUCUUUUAUUUUUAUUUUCUAGUACGAAAGGACAAAAAAUAAUAUUAAUAAUAUAAAUUUGGCAGAAAAUUGCAUUAGAAUUAGAAUCUAAUUAU
rnacentral:rRNA from 1 species